rnacentral:rRNA from 1 species
AGACAGGUGCUGCAUGGCUGUCGUCAGCUCGUGUUGUGAAAUGUUGGGUUAAGUCCCGCAACGAGCGCAACCCUUAUCCUUGUUUGCCAGCGAGUAAUGUCGGGAACUCCAGGGAGACUGCCGGUGAUAAACCGGAGGAAGGUGGGGACGACGUCAAGUCAUCAUGGCCCUUACGAGUAGGGCUACACACGUGCUACAAUGGCGCAUACAGAGGGCAGCAAGCUAGCGAUAGUGAGCGAAUCCCAAAAAGUGCGUCGUAGUCCGGAUUGGAGUCUGCAACUCGACUCCAUGAAGUCGGAAUCGCUAGUAAUCGUAGAUCAGAAUGCUACGGUGAAUACGUUCCCGGGCCUUGUACACACCGCCCGUCACACCAUGGGAGUGGGCUGCAAAAGAAGUGGGUAGUUUAACCUUUCGGGGAGGACGCUCACCACUUUGUGGUUCAUGACUGGGGUGAAGUCGUAACAAGGUAGCGCUAGGGGAACCUGGCGCUGGAUCACCUCCUUAUACGAAGAU